rnacentral:rRNA from 1 species
AUUGAACGCUGGCGGCAUGCUUUACACAUGCAAGUCGAACGGUAACAGGCCGCAAGGUGCUGACGAUUGGCGAACGGGUGAGUAAUGCAUCGGAACGUGCCCAGUCGUGGGGGAUAACUACUCGAAAGAGUAGCUAAUACCGCAUACGAUCUAUGGAUGAAAUCGGGGGACCGUAAGGCCUCGCUCGAUUGGAGCGGCCGAUGUCAGAUUAGGUAGUUGGUGGGGUAAAGGCUCACCAAGCCAACGAUCUGUAGCUGGUCUGAGAGGACGACCAGCCACACUGGGACUGAGACACGGCCCAGAGUCCUACGGGAGGCAGCAGUGGGGAAUUUUGGACAAUGGGCGCAAGCCUGAUCCAGCAAUGCCGCGUGCAGGAAGAAGGCCUUCGGGUUGUAAACUGCUUUUGUACGGAACGAAACGGCUCUGGUUAAUACCCGGGGCUAAUGACGGUACCGUAAGAAUAAGCACCGGCUAACUACGUG